CUGACCACAAAACGUCAAAAUGACAGUAUGUGUGCAAACAUUUAACUGAUUCUGCGUUUUUACUCUAAAUAAAUACUUAUUAGUGUUUCUUAGCUUCCAAGUACAUUUUUUUUGGACAAAAUCAAUAGCGUAAUAAUAACAAUGCCAGUAUGUAGUGUUUUAGCGUGUGAAAACAGAACAUAUCGAAGCAGUCCGGGUACAUCCUAUCACAGGUUUCCACUUCAAGAACGUGAACGCACUGAUUGGGUUAAAGCAUGUGGAAGAACAAACUGGGAACCGCCUAAAAGUUCUGUAAUAUGCUCUAAGCAUUUUGAUGACAACUUCUUUAUUAAACAUGGAGAUAGAACAAGUCCCAACCAAGUUCUGUCAUUUGGAAAAUGUUUCUGUACCAAGUUGUUCACCAUCCUCAAUGCAACAUAGUGAAGUUGCCGGCAUCCCUGCCAACUAUAUUUAGAAGCAGGAAAAUCCAACUAAGCGAGGCAAAAGAACAUGAUUACACAGAUACGCCUCGGAAGAAAAAGUUAAAGCUUAUGCUUGAAAGAAAAAGGGUUUUGUCAGAAACUCGAUUGAAAAAACUACGUGCUGCAAGACAAGCGAACCGGCGUUUAGUAAAAAAAAAUGCUGAACUGUCUGACGUUAUUGCUGAACUGCGGCUAAACUUUAAAUUUUGAAAAACAGAUCAACUCUUCUCUUUCAUUUUUAAGAGAUGAUGCGUUAAUAGAAGAAGCUUUCGAAUCCGAGGAACUUGAUUUUUCAGUAGACCAUGACUAUCUGCCAGAUCCAUCCCGUUUAACAGAAUAUACAAAACAUGUAGUGGUAUAUAUUGCGGGCUUUGUUGUUACCAAAGUGUCCAAAAUAGUAAAGUGUCACGAUUGCUUAAGUAGCAUAGUGGAGAUGUCAAAUUUAAACUUGUUAUUAAUUUCCAAAAAAGACAAAGG